rnacentral:rRNA from 1 species
GCUAAAAGGGGGUUAGGUCGGUAGAGCAGCCGGCGUGCGUAGGUGGGGUGGUGGCGGCGGCAGGAGCGCGGGCAGAGCAGGCCAAGCAGAGUUGGAUCUCCGGUGGGCGGCCGCUGGCUCGCAGGUACUGCCUCCUUGCGUAAAGGUCCCGGAGUCCGCUCGGGUGGUGGCCCUGGUUCGUCUCCUUCUUCUCCUUCACCCUAGUCGGGCGUCUCCUGAACCAGCGGCGCCGACGACGACGACGAUUCCGCCGCCCUGACGGGCACAACUUGCAGCCUCGAGACCGGCCGCAAGUUAAGGGACCGUGAUGACGCAUAGGACGGCGGGGAAUACGAAACGGGGGCGUCGAGCGAGGUAGCCACGAAGUCUCACGACGACGACGCUAAGUCUUUAAUUCAGUCCGUUUUGAUGGCCUACUCGAAUAUCGUGCUCUUCAACAAUAUUUACUGCGACUAGGUAGACACGCUAUAUUCGAGUGCUUCGCCGUUUGUGUCCUGCUCUAAGUUGUUACGUGUACGUGACAGUAGUAAUGUUCCCCUUUUAUGGUAGGAGGAUUACCUGUCGGACUACCACUCUUCGGUGAGAUAGAUGUAUAGAGGCGUCCUAGAGUCGAUUUUCUAUGGCGACUCGCGUAAUUUCGUCAACUAGAACGUCGCAGUUACUAGCUCCUGUAGAACUUUGUACCGGUUUACGGUCUUCGGUGUAGUCGGUUAAAGGGAAGAUAGGUCUCGUUGUCUGUCCGACAAGGAAAAUCGCGGAGGUAGAAAAACCCAAAACUGCGUCUAGGUAGUAACUUACAACGUCGAGCGUAGGCACCUGGUUUACUAGUCAUGUAUUUAGUGUAAUACUUACUUUGUCCCCAGUGACAACAUGAUUCUCCUUUUCUAAGUCCCUUAGAACCGUUAACAGUGCGACUUCGUAGUGUUGUUGGAGACGUGUACGUGGAUAGUCCACACGUAAACUUCUCGGAUCUUCGACGUUUCCAAAAUCGUCUUUUGGAAGAUCUAUGUUAUCGUCGCCUUGAACCACGAAGGUCUUAAAGAAGAAGUUUUCAUAUACCACGACAAGGUGGAGGAGUCGUUGACAACUGACCACACGUGUGGAGCCCUUGUAGUCUGUAUACACACAGUUGACCUCGUAGUGUAAGGAAACGGGGAUGACCUCAAUGAAGAGGGUAUAGACGAGGAAGUCACUGUGAAGUUAGACCCCGCGGUUGAAUAAGACCCUAAGGGGGUGGGUCAUUGGACUAGAUAGGAUCAGUUCGUCGUUUAGCACCCCGAAGAAUGUUACCGAUACCUCUGUAGAUAGGGGUCCGUUGAGGUAACGUCGUCCACCGUAAUUGUGAGUUCGUACGAAGUAGAAGCUGUUGAGUCCAAUAAGGUCACCGUAGGUGUAGUCGUUCGUACUGCUGUUCACACUUGUGUUCAUGUUUCAACCUCCGUCUAUUUGCGAGUGUCUCCUCCUUUAAGGUCCUUGACGGUUGUCGUCUGGAAGUCCAUAAAAGAGACUGGUACAGACUUCGAGCGUCCCACCAUUAUCUAGAUAUACACAAGAAAAAAAGAUGUCCCAAAUAAGGUUCAACCUCAAACGUUAGCGCUACCACAAAUCGACUAUUCUAUACGUCCCAAUAAGACGAACACUUAACCUACUAACGAAGAUAAAAGAACAACGAUUACGUUUCAUGGGAACAAAAGUUGGACAACGACGGUCGUACGUCUGAAGUCAUUUACUCUUAAUUGUAACGAUGGUAUGCGAAGUUGUUUACGACAAUUGUAGCGAUCGUAUGUAUACCGUAAGAACCGACUAUAUCAAAAGAAUUAUCCAUAACCAUAAUUAGACCAAUUCGGGGUGAAAUAAGGAGACUCUUUUACGGAUGUCAAGACGUAAAUCUUUUGAACGAGCGAAUCAGUGUGAGUGGAUAUUAUUGAUCAUGUUUACACGUUUUAAUAAAAUGAUAAAACAAAUCUUGUUUUACCGAAAUAAUUUGUGAAUUUUCCUUCGAAAGAAAUGAAAGAAUCAACAUGUUUGUAACGACGGGGGUUGAACGAUUCAGCCGUACUAAUUACCAAAAGGUAUACAGUACAAAUGAACAUGACGUUAAGGUAUAUUAAGUACAUAAAUACGUGACCACCACGACAAAUACCUGUCAUCAACGGCUAAAGUAGGAGGAAAACGCAAAAUGGUAAUUAUACGAAAUUAAAUUAAGUUACGUUUCCUUAAACUACCCUUUCACAAAAACAAAGUACAAAGGUCUUGAGUGUUGUCCCCAGGUUUAAACAAUUCUGUCCAAAUCUACUAGAUCCAUUUUACUUGUCAAGUAGCCAACGUGGAUGUUACUUUCAAGUCGGACCUAGUUUAUCCUAUGAAGGUGUUCUAGGUGUAGGUAGAGUAGGCAGACAUAUGUGAUCGUACGGCGGUGGUGGUGGUGGGUUCUUGUACAGUGACGGUAUAGGAUUAUCGUACGGUGGGGGUGGUGGGUCCUCGUACGGAGGCGGUGGUGGAUUCAAGGGAAGUUUACUUCACAAUUCUUUACUCUUAUCCGUAAGUCGGGAUUUCCUCGGCAACCGCGGAGACUCUAGCAACCUGCGCUCAAGACGACGUGGUGGAAGCUUCCUCGGAUUUCUCCUUUUCGGUUCAUAACGUAGACAAAGACUAUGAGACGACUUCGAAUACCUGAUACCCCUACUACUGCUGCUGCUACUCCUGAUCGCACGGACCUCCCUUAUGUUGAGGGUCAAGUCCCGUCUUUGGUAAAAGCAGCCACACUCUUACUCGCACAUCACAUUGACAUGACACCCAUUGUGAUCACGACACUUUACCUUUACGGCCAUCUGUCAGGACUACGUAAAAGAGUUGCGUUGUUCAGCAACUCGAACAGUAAAACAUAGUUACAAUAGUCCAGUUGUCUAAGGGGACUAGACCUAUGUGCACUAAAAGGGUAGACUUCAUGUCAUCAUUGAUCGUACCAAGGAAUUCAUAAGAAAGUUAUACAACUAUGAGGGAGGCGGGGGUUAAUGAACAGCGUCUUUAAAAAUCAAGAUCUAUGUAAGUUAAGAUAGUAAAAACGCUGUUCAUUAAAUCCUGGCUCCCUCAUACACAAAUCCACGACAGUCGUAACAUCAC